GCUUGCUCCAGAACUGAACAGCCUGCACUAACUUCCUGGAAAAGUGCCAAACUGAAUGGGCCGAGUUCUACCCUUAGUGUUGCCUGCUCCCCAAGGCAGGAAUGCUUUCUGUAUCUCCUACGCCUCUGCAGCUUAGGAGAAUGCAGUACUCAGACUUAAAUUGCCUUUUAGGCAAAAUGACUCACUUUAAGACAGGAAGUUCUGUGUUCUACUCUGUUGGAUUUUCAAGAGGCCCCGACGCCACCACCUUACAGCAUCAUCAGCUGUGAUGGAAUACCAAGUGCUGGUCCCACCAGUCAGUGAAGAGAACACCACGGGUUCUAGAACCACUGUGUUACAAAUAGGAAACCGACCUUAGAGGGUUUCAGAACAUUGGCAUGCAGCUGGUAACACAGAAGGAGAAAACAGAAACCACAUCCGGAAGUAAUCAUCUCCCAGUCACUUUAAUGGAUUAUAAAUGUUAAAGAGCCCACCAAUUAAAUUAGCGUGAUGGCGUUUCAUAAAAAGUUCCAUAAAUCUUAAAUGGAGAAACACAUUUCCAUGGACUCGAUCAGCUUGUAGUGAAACUGUAAGAGAAGCAAAGACUGCAAAGGAGUUGGAAGAAAUAAAGAGCCCUUUCCAACCUUUUGAAACGCCUGCAACAAUAAUGAACAUAUAAUGCACAGGCAAUAACCCUUCAGUCAAAAAGAAAGACAAACAGAAAAGAGAGCCUUGCAUAGAAACUUGGGUGAUUCUACACUUUAAAUAAUAAGGUGUUGUGUUCAGAGAUAGGGCUCUAAGUUGUUGGGGGACGUGAACGGCCGCAGGGAGUGAAGGAUGAGGUCAACACUGAAUCCUCUGUAGCAGAGGAUCGUAUUUACUCCGCUGCCUUCCGACCUUGUUGCUCUUUCCUGUAAGUCGAGUCUGCCCCCUCGUGGUGAAAGUGAGAGGCUGCGCUCACUUCCCAGGACGCCUUCCUCUUCUAGGUCAGUGAGAGGGUAUUGGGAGCAACUGGUCCCUUCACCACCAUCCUGUCCUUGAGCUGCUUUUCAUUGCUUCUCCCCCCUCUGUUCUCUGUUCCCCUUUUCUUCUCUUACUGCUUCCUUUUGUCUCCUUCCCUCCCCUUGCAUUCCAGAGCCAUCCACAAUAUUAUUUACCAGCCCAGGCAUGAGAGCUAAAAUUGCUGCAGACCCUCUGCCUAGGGAGAGGAUCUGAACUCUGAUUUAAGGAAUUCAGACAAUUUCAAUAAAUCAUUAAAUAACCGUCACCCCAAAGAGUAAUACCAUGUCAUCAAGAGCUAAACAGACACUGAACAGGAAAUUGGGAGACAUGGAUUUCUCUGGCCUUAGCCUUAUCCCUGGAAUAUGAUAUGGAUGUAACGUGUGUAUGAAAACCAAGAAACCUGGACAUAAGCACAACUUAAUAGAGAAGCAGGAAGCAGGAAGAUAAAGGGGGUUUCUCUGCCCUCAGCACAGAAAAGCAAAAGGGCACACAACUGUCAUAUCCACCCGCUCCUCAGCAAACCACUCCAAACACACAAUCUAAGUAAACGAAAGCAAUGUUCACUAUGUAAAGGCAGCCUCAAGAUAAAGCUUCUUGUUCCCCUCAUGGACCUGUUCCAAUCAGCCUGACACCCAUGGGGCCAUCCUGAGCAACCAAUCCAUCUGGAGUAUCAUUUCCAUCCUAUUUCUAUCCAUUUUCUACACAGAAAUUUUUAAAAAUUACAUUUCUUCAAAUAUACCUUCAAAGGUAUGAACCUUCGAAGGUAUAUUGCCUUCAUUGUCUGUGCCUUGUACAUUCAGAAUCUCUCUCUCUCUCUCUCAUACACACACACCCACACACCCUCAAGUCCUCUACUCUAGCCACACUUCUCUCCUGGGUUUCCCCCCACAGCCCUCUCUUUCUCUCCUCCAUGUUUUUUCAUUUGCUCUUUUCCAGCUUAGAUUGUUCUGACUCAAGGCUCACGGCCUUUUGUGAAGUUUGCAUCAGUGCAAGGCCCUUUUUAUUUUAUAAAACUGCAUUAGUGCACAGAACAGGACAUGUCACCCAGGGAGAUGUAAGUUGAGGGCACUUCCAUACCCAUAGAAAAGUCUCAUGUUGAGGUAAAAUAUAUAUAUUUUAAAACAACUGUAAUUUAUGCAGCUAUUAAUCUUCCAAGGCAAGUGGUAGGGUACGGUGAAAUGUUCAUAAGCUAACAAGAAAAAACUCAGGUGGCUUAUGCCAUUGCCAGAAUCCUGAGAUGGAAUUACAGCCCCAUAACUCAAAGUUGCCAGCUCUUUCCAUUCCCUAAUGGAGGUUCUGAAGGACGGGACUCCUGUUCACUUUCCCUGUUUACUCUCUAG
ensembl:lncRNA